AAUUUUUACAGAUAUUGCGGAACACAAGAGGAAAAUUGCUUGUUGACCUGGCCACUAAGAUAAAUUCAGUGAAUCAAGAUGUUAGAGUUGAAGAGUUUACUAGGCUUAGUCUUUCACCCGCUUCUUUGCCAACAAAUCUCAUUUCUUCUGUUUUUACCAACCAAAAUAUUGAUGACCAUGUUAAUGAGACUCCUAGUUCGUCUAUAGGAUGUGUUAGUGAGCUGCCCCAAAUUAUUCAUCGCGAAUUGAAAGAUGCCGAAGAAGACAAACGACAUGAUUUGGAAAGAAACGCAGCCCAAUCACAAGAAGAAUUUGUGCUUGUUCCUUCUGGCCAAGAAAAUGUGUUUAUCUUGAAACCGAUUGCAAACUCAUCUCCAUUAGUUGAAGAUUUUGAUCAAGACACAACUUGGGGUGAUGAAAAUGGUUUCUUGCCUACUGUAAAUAAUAUUACUGAUGU